rnacentral:rRNA from 1 species
GACGAACGCUGGCGGCGUGCUUAACACAUGCAAGUCGAACGGAAAGGCCCUGCUUUUGUGGGGUGCUCGAGUGGCGAACGGGUGAGUAACACGUGAGUAACCUGCCCUUGACUUUGGGAUAACUUCAGGAAACUGGGGCUAAUACCGGAUAGGAGCUCCUGCUGCAUGGUGGGGGUUGGAAAGUUUCGGCGGUUGGGGAUGGACUCGCGGCUUAUCAGCUUGUUGGUGGGGUAGUGGCUUACCAAGGCUUUGACGGGUAGCCGGCCUGAGAGGGUGACCGGCCACAUUGGGACUGAGAUACGGCCCAGACUCCUACGGGAGGCAGCGGUGGGGAAUAUUGCACAAUGGGCGGAAGCCUGAUGCAGCAACGCCGCGUGCGGGAUGACGGCCUUCGGGUUGUAAACCGCUUUCGCCUGUGACGAAGCGUGAGUGACGGUAAUGGGUAAAGAAGCACCGGCUAAAUACGUG